rnacentral:tRNA from 1 species
GUGGGUAUAACUCAGUGGCAGAGAGUACAUGCCCAGCAUGCAUGAGGUCCCGGGUUCAAUUCCCAGUACUUGCA